GGAGGGGUGGCCGAGCGGUUUAAGGCGCUGCUCUUGAAAAGCAGUGUGCCCGAAAGGGUACCGUGGGUUCGAAUCCCACCCCCUCCG
rnacentral:tRNA from 1 species